rnacentral:rRNA from 1 species
UACAUGGGGUGCAAACGUUGCUCGGAAUUAUUGGGCGUAAAGCGCACGUAGGCGGUUCGUUAAGUCGGAUGUGAAAGCCCUCGGCUCAACUGAGGAAGUGCACCCGAAACUGGCGAGCUAGAGUACGAAAGGAGGAUCGCGGAAUUCCCGGUGUAGAGGUGAAAAUUCGUAGAUAUCGGGAGGAACACCGGUGGCGAAGGCGGCGAUCUGGGUCGAUACUGACGCGUGA